AGUGAACGCUGGCGGUAGGCCUAACACAUGCAAGUCGAACGGCAGCACAGUAAUAUCUUGCUCUUACGGGUGGCGAGUGGCGGACGGGUGAGGUAUAUAUCGUAAUCUACUUUUUCGUGGGGGAUAACGUAGGUAAACUUACGCUAAUACCGCAUACGACCUACGGUUGAAAGCAUUGGAUCUUUUGACCUUGCGCGGUUGAAUUAGCCGAUGUUGGAUUAGCUAGUUGGCGGGGUAAAUGCCCACCAAGGCGACGAUCCGUAGCUCGUCUGAGAGGAUGGUAGGCCACCCUGGAACGGGACCACGGUCCAGACUACUAAGAGAGGCACCAGUGGGGAAUAUUAGACAAUGGGCGGAAACAUGGUACAGCGAUACCGAGUGGGUGAAGAAGGCCUUCGGGUUGUAAAGACCUUUUGUGGGGAAAGAAAAGCAGCAGGUUAAUACGAAGCUGUUCUGACGGUAACCAAAGAAUAAGCACCGGCUAACUUCGUG
rnacentral:rRNA from 1 species